rnacentral:rRNA from 1 species
GACGAACGCUGGCGGCGUGCUUAACACAUGCAAGUCGAACGGAAAGGCCCUGCUUUUGUGGGGUGCUCGAGUGGCGAACGGGUGAGUAACACGUGAGUAACCUGCCCUUGACUUUGGGAUAACUUCAGGAAACUGGGGCUAAUACCGGAUAGGAGCUCCUGCUGCAUGGUGGGGGUUGGAAAGUUUCGGCGGUUGGGGAUGGACUCGCGGCUUAUCAGCUUGUUGGUGGGGUAGUGGCUUACCAAGGCUUUGACGGGUAGCCGGCCUGGGAGGGUGACCGGCCACAUUGGGACUGAGGUACGGCCCAGACUCCUACGGGAGGCAGCAGUGGGGAAUAUUGCACAAUGGGCGGAAGCCUGAUGCAGAAACGCCGCGUGCGGGAUGACGGCCUUCGGGUUGUAAACCGCUUUCGCCUGUGACGAAGCGUGAGUGACGGUAAUGGGUAAAGAAGCACCGGCUAACUACGUG